ensembl:snRNA U6 U6 spliceosomal RNA
GCAAUCACUUUGGCAGCACGUAUACUAAAAUUGGAAAGAAACAGGAAGAUUAGCAUGGGCCUGGAGCAAGGACAACAUGGAAGUUCGUAAAGCAUUCCAUAUUUUU